rnacentral:lncRNA from 1 species
AAAAGUAUUAGUAAAAUAUGAGAGCCCCUUGAGACAGGGCUGCAAAUGGAAUUAGAACCCUAGAUUAUAUAAUCCAUUGCCACAACUUGAUUCCCAUAUUCAUUCCCUGAUGAAUUCAUUCAAAUUUUCAAAUCCCAUCAAAGAUCAUAUAAGUCAUGAUUAUGCCCGAUUGUUAAAGUAUAACAUAUCCCAAUCAUACUCGUCUUAUCGAUAGAGUUCAGCGAAGUACCUGAAUUACCACUUACAAGUGGGUUACCCUUUUUUACAUUAUGGUAUUUACCAUAUUUGUUCAAAUCAUUCUCCAAAUUUGCUUAUCCUGUGCUACAAAAAUUCUUAAGCACAUAUAUUAGUAAACAUAUGAGAGCCCUUUGAGAUGGGGCCGUAAACUCAUUGCAAAGAUAACCCAAAACUUCGAUCGUGUAAACUAUUGCCACGCCUUUGUUCAUGACAAAAAUCAUAUUAUUACAAACAAGUGGUCCCCCUACAGAACGUUCAACAUAUCACAAGUAUUUUUGAGUCAACACAGCGAUAUGGAACUAAAAACAUAUCAGAUUACCCCGUAAGCCACAACAAGCAUACCUCUCAUAUACAAUCCUAGCAGAGAAAAUGAUACAAAGAUACUCAUCCGGUAGAGAUAAUGAUUAUUAGUUAUUACUACUCUCAAUUAAGGUCAUGAGAUUCUCCCUUCCCGUAAUUCAAUUCUCACCAAUUGGAUAAAAAGCAAAUUUAGAAAGUACCUCCACCUUAAUCCCUUUUUCUUCGUUAAUCUUAUUUUGUGGAUAAGAUUGUGAGCCUCUGUAAACUCAAUGGAAUCCAAUACUCCCUUGACAGCCAACUUCAACCUUAAUUUCAAUUUCCACUAGUUCGUCAUCUUCCCCAUCAAAUGUUCUGUGAAUGUAAAACAACAGUCAACGACUCUUGAGCAAAAUAACAUCAAUCGGAAAUGGAAAUGGGGCCUCUAGAUUUCUACGAAAGAGAGCAUAAUUAUCAGCAGAGAUAAAACUUAAAAGAGAGAAAUAGAGAAAUGGCCAUGAUCGUGGGAGCUUUUCCCCGGAGCUGCGCUAGAAAUCAGGUGCCAAGAGUUCAGAAAUGUCGGCUGCCUCAGGAGGCACGGCGGAGGCCGCCGGAGUUUUCUUCGCUGACGUCGCUCAGGCCGCCAGAGUUUUCUUCCCUGACGUCGCUGGUUCAAUUCUGUCUUUUUCCCGACGUGAUUUGAGAUGGAAAUCUGAGAACCCAGAUUGAAAGGGGGCGAUAUGGGUGAUUCAGAUCGAAAUUUGAAUUGAACAAUUCCCCUAACAUUUAAAUCUUAGGGAAAAUGCUAGAAUUGGGGAUCUUUGAGGCAUGGUGACGGAGUCUGGAGUUUAGGAGCGGCCGCAGCCAUUAUUUGCUUAAAUUUGAGGUGGAGAUAAGGCCGGUGGAGAUAAUUGUGGCAGCUAGCAGCCGGUGUUGCUUGUACACCAGGCGGCGAUGAUAUAGACCGGCGAUUUGCUCGCUUGACAUGCGAUAUCUGGGAGGUGGCGAUUUUUGCUGGAAAUUUUAUGAAGAAGAGAGAGAGAUCACCGAUUCAACAGAAAAACAGAAUAAUCGGAGAGAACUGCCCCCUUUUGGAGACAAAACUGGAAUUGAAAAUUAAUCGGCCCGUUGUGGCCGGAAACUGGAAAAUAACCCCCAUCGGAAAACUUCGAGGAUUGGAUCUUCAAUUUUUUUUGGCGAUGAACAGUAGCUUCGAUGAACAGUA